UACGUAGGGCGCAAGCGUUGUCCGGAAUUAUUGGGCGUAAAGAGCUCGUAGGCGGCCUGUUGCGUCCGCUGUGAAAUCCCGGGGCUUAACCCCGGGCCUGCAGUGGAUACGGGCAGGCUGGAGGCAGGCAGGGGAGAACGGAAUUCCCGGUGUAGCGGUGAAAUGCGCAGAUAUCGGGAGGAACACCGGUGGCGAAGGCGGGUCUCUGGACAGUUCCUGACGCUGAGGCACGAAGGCCAGGGGAGCAAACGGG
rnacentral:rRNA from 1 species